rnacentral:rRNA from 1 species
UAGGGAAUCUUCGGCAAUGGACGAAAGUCUGACCGAGCAACGCCGCGUGAGUGAAGAAAGGUUUUCGGGAUCGUAAAACUCUGUUGGUAGAGAAGAACGUUGGUGAGAGUGGAAAGCUCAUCAAGUGACGGUAACUACCCAGAAAGGGACGGCUAACUACGUGCCAG